GGUGAACGCUGGCGGCGUGCUUAAGACAUGCAAGUCGAACGGGUGCUUUCGGGCACCAGUGGCGCACGGGUGAGUAACGCGUAACUGACGAGCCUCAAAGACGUGAAUAACCCUUUGAAAGAGGGGCUAAUAUGCGAUGUGAUGUAGAUUUAUGAAUAUACAUUAAAGGGAGAGAUCCGCUGUGAGAAGGGGUUGCGUUCCAUCAGCUAGAUGGUAGGGUAAAGGCCUACCAUGGCGACGACGGAUAGCCGGCCUGAGAGGGUGGACGGCCACAGGGGCACUGAGACACGGGCCCCACUCCUACGGGAGGCGGCAGUUAGGGAUCUUCCACAAUGGGCGAAAGCCUGAUGGAGCGACGCCGCGUGAGGGAAGAAGGCCUUCGGGUCGUAAAGCUCUGUCGCAGGGGAAUAACACAAUGAAUGUACCCUGUAAGAAAGGAUCGGCUAACUUCGUGCCAGCAGCCGCUGUAACAC
rnacentral:rRNA from 1 species